rnacentral:rRNA from 1 species
ACGACGCUGGCGGCAGGCCUAACACAUGCAAGUCGAGCGAGACCUUCGGGUCUAGCGGCGGACGGGUUAGUAACGCGUGGGAACGUGCCCUUCACUACGGAAUAGUCCUGGGAAACUGGGUUUAAUACCGUAUACGCCCUUCGGGGGAAAGAAUUUCGGUGAAGGAUCGGCCCGCGUUAGAUUAGGUAGUUGGUGGGGUAAUGGCCUACCAAGCCUACGAUCUAUAGCUGGUUUUAGAGGAUGAUCAGCAACACUGGGACUGAGACACGGCCCAGACUCCUACGGGAGGCAGCAGUGGGGAAUCUUGGACAAUGGGCGCAAGCCUGAUCCAGCCAUGCCGCGUGAGUGAUGAAGGCCUUAGGGUCGUAAAGCUCUUUCGCCAGGGAUGAUAAUGACAGUACCUGGUAAAGAAACCCCGGCUAACUCCGUGCCAGCAGCCGCGGUAAUAC